rnacentral:lncRNA from 1 species
UAGUAACAGCAAGGACCCUGUUAUGAGAAGCAUGCACCAGGAUCUAUGGGAACAUACAUGGGAGAUACAUAACUCAGACUAGUGCUGGUGUGGAAACAAGAAGAGAUGGGUCACGGGAUCUUCUGAGACAUCCUGAAGCAGUACCUCAAGGAGCCAGCAUGCUCUCUAGUUGGUGCUCUCUCCUGCCUUUCACUUGCUUGCUCUGAUGAAAGCAGCUGCCAUGUUGUGAGACACUCUUUGGAGAGACCCACAUGGCAAUGAACAAAGAGAGACUUCUGGCCAACAGCUCAUGAGGAAUUGAAGACUCAGUCCACCAGCCUCCAAGGAAAUGAAUCCUGCCAUCAGCCAUGUGAGUGAGCUCAGAAGUGGAUCCUUCCCAGUCGAUCUGAGAUGACUACAGCCCAUGAGAGAUCCUAAAGCAGAAGACCCAGCUAAGCCACACUCAGAUUCCCGAACCAUGGAAACCGUGAUAUCAUAAAUCUGUGUUGUUUUAAGCCUCUAAGUGUUGAGUAACUUGUUACACAAUAGAUCACUACUACAUUAUUUAUCAAUCAGCUAGGGAUUACAGAUGAUAAAACCCAACUAUGGCAAAAUUCCCAGUUUGGUUGAUUAUUAGAUUUAGUCCAUAAAUGAUUAUCGAUUUGCAACAUGCAUAACAAAUUAUACAGUCGGCCCUCCAUAUCUGUGUGUUCCACAUAUUCAGAUUCAACCAAACACAGAUAGAAAUACACUAUUCGAAAAUACACUGUUCCACAGGACCAACUGUGGGACUUGAGCAUCCAUGGAUUUUGGUAUCAGAAGUGGGUCCUGGA